UUCUCGGGAGGUCAUUGGGCCACAGCACAUGGUAGGCAAGCAUGUACCCACCAAGCUACAGCCACAGCUCACUGAGGAGUCUGCUAGAGACUUCAACAGGCACAGCAGGAAUAAGUCACACAAAAUCCCCUCCUUAUGAAUGAGUGAAGUGCUGUCUUUUCUAAAGGGCAAAGAGAGGUCCACGGGACAGAUGCACAUGAUGAAGAUUCUGUUUCUGCUUUUUCCUCCUAUAGAUGAUACCAAUACGGGGACCUCUCACCAACAAACAGAAAACUAAGGGAAGACGUAUCAGGAGCCCUCCCUCCGUGCCGGCUGCAGGAGUGUCUAUGAAAACCAUCAGGAGGACAGGGAGGGGCAGGGGUGAGACGGGCCCCAGGAUCCUGACUCUCAGCUGUUCCAAAGGUCUCCCCCCACUCUAGAAUAUAGGCUUGAUGAAUUCAAGUUUUUCUGUGUGUGUGUGUCUGUUCAAUUGCCUGGUGUAUGGAAACGCUCGACUAAUGUAAUUCACAAACUAAUGCAUCCAAUAAUAGUCCAGGACCUAAAGCCAUUUAUCCCGUCAUAAUACAUAAGGAUGAAGUCAAGAUUCUGCCCAAUGCACCGUUUAUCAUAAAGACCAGUGCUUCAGCACCUUGCUCCUCUCCCUGAAGAAUCUGACCACCGCCACCACCAUCUGCAAAAAUCUCCUAAGUGGCUCUAAUCAAGUCUGAUCUGUCCACCUAAUUACCUAGAUACCUACUGGGAAGCAUUUACAUUUAUUUUCUUGAUUUUUUUUCUGUUCCUUUUCAUAUAUUAAAAUGUCAGAAAUAGCAACCCCAAAGGGUGCUUAAUAAAUACCGGAUGAGUUUCUCUUGAAAUCUUUUUAAGACCUCUGAUAACUUGCACUUCCCUUGGUUUAAUUUUUUAUUUUUUAGAUACUAGGGAUUAGUAUUUAAUUUAGAGACAAGGUCUCACUGAGUUGCUUAGGGCCUCACUUUUGCUGAGGCUGGCUUUGAAUUCAUGAUCCUCCUGCCUCAGCCUCCUGAGCUACUGGGAUUGCAGUUGUGUGUCACUGUGCUCCGCCCCUCAGUUUAUUUUUAACAGCAAGGAUUUUCUCAUAUUUAUCUUUAAUUUUCUUGGGUUACUCCAUGAGCAAAGUCUGCAAAUGACUCCAAAAUGUUUGAAAUCAUUACAAUCUGGCAUGACAAAAAAAAAAAAAAAUCUUAAAUUGUGACUUCAAAGUCAGAAAAUUCUGUGUUCAAAUUCAGGUAGAGCUAUUCCCCAGCAAUGUGAUCUAGGAUC